ensembl:lncRNA
UAAAAAGUCAUUAAAAUGGUCUCAGUGCAGGUGGGGUCUGGUUAUCGGGUGGUUGUAUAACUUUAGAUAUGAAUCGGGUCAUAUAGAUCGGCAUGUAGGCCAGAAAGCCUUGGGCUUCUCUCCCUGGGGCAGCGUUGAUCCACAUCAAUUAUGGUGAGCAAGUCCCACUCCAGGAUGUAAUUAUUAAGCAAGUUGAUUUUUGUUUCCCUGUGUUUUGUGGAGCUAAUUAGUCUCUAGCUCCUCGAUGACCAUGACUUUUAUGGUCACCUUCAGGUAAUAAAAGGUCUUCUAAUCAGUAAUUAAUACUUUUAAUUCAGAGUAAGAACCAAAACUUUCAACUUCCUUCAAGGUUAUAGCUGCACCGCUUUCCCGGCUGCUGUCGCCAGUUACGUGCAGUGGGAGGGAGGGGAGGAGCUGAUUUCUUAGUUUUUCUCCAACUUAUGCUUUCACCCAUCAGUUCCUCUCCCCCACACUCUGAUUUCUUACCUCUGUGAGGUUAGAGGAGAGAAGAGAGGAAAAGGAAAGGAAUGUUCCAGGCUUGUCUUUUUAUUUUUUUAAAUUAUUUUAUUGAUGUAUAUUAUUAUAUAUGAGUUUCUGUAUAGACUGCAUUAUACUGACCUCCAAUAAUCUAGAUUUUAUCUGUCACCAUACAUGUGUGCCCCAUUACCCCUUUCGCCCUCCACUCACCCCCUUUCUCUCUGGUAAUCACAGUUCUGUUCUUAUCCAUGUGUUUGUUUAUCUUCCACAUACGAGUGAAAACAUGGUGUUUAUCUUUGUCUGGCUUAUUUCACUUAGCAUAAUACCAUCAAAGUCCAUCCAUGUUGUCACAAGUGGCAUGAUUUUGUCUUUUUCAAUGGCUGAGUGGUAUUCCAUUCUAUAUAUGUAUACUAAAUCUUCUUUAUCCAUACAUCUGUUGAUGGGCACUUGGGUUGCUUCCAUGUCUCGGCUAUUGUGAAUAAUGCUGCAAUGAACAUAGGAAUGCAUAAAUGUCUUUGAAUUGCUGAUUUCAUGUUCUUUGGAUAAAUACUCAGUAGUGGGAUGGCUGGAUCAUAUGGUAUUUCUACUUUUACUUUUUUGAGAACUCUCCAUACUGUUUUCCAUAAUGGCUGUACCAGUUUGCAUUCCCACCAGCAGUGCAUGAGGGUUCCCUUUUCUCUGCAUUCCAACAUUUGUUAUUUUUUGUCUUGUUAAUUAUAGUCAUUCUGAUGGGUGUAAGGUGAUAUCUCAUUGUCAUUUUGUUUUGCAUUUCCCUAAUAAUUAGUAUGUUGAACAUCUUUUCAUGUGCCUAUUGGCCAUCUGUGUAUCUUCUCUGGAAAAAUGUCUUCUUCAUAUCCUCUGCCCAUUUUUUGAUCAGUUGUCUGUUUUUUUGUUGUUGAGUUGUUUGAGUUCUUUAUAUAUUUUGGAGAUUAACCCCUUGUCAGAUAUAUGAUUUGCAAAUAUUUUCUCCCGGUUAGUGGGUUGUCUUUUCAUUUUGUUCAUGGUUUCCUUUGCUUUGCAGAAAGUUUUAGUCUGAUAUAGUCCUAAUUGUUUAUUUUUUUCUUUUCUUUCCCUUGCCUGAGUAGACAUGGUAUUUGAAAAAAAUACUGCUAAGACCAAUGUCAGAGUGUACUGCCUAUAUUUUCCUCUAGGAGUUUUAUGGUUUCAGGUCUUACAUUCAAGUCCUUAAUCCAUUUUGAGUUAAUUUUCAUGUACGGUGUAAGAUAAUGGUCUACUUUCAUUCUUUUGCACAUGACUGUCCAGUUUUCCCAACACCCUUUAUUGAAGAGUCUUUCCUUUCUCCAUUGUAUGGUCUUGGCUCCUUUGUCGAAGAUUACCUGUCCAUAGAUGUGUGGCUUUAUUUCUGGGCUUUCAAUUUUCAGCCUUGUCUUUACUGCAGAUAAAAGAUCUGUAGUAUAAGAGGAUGUCUCGAAAGAACCCACAAAGAAUAAAGCACCCCCAUAAGAGAAUCUGCUGUAAACUCUGCCAACCCCAGAGAGCGAGAGGUCCGGCAAAGACAGACUUGGAACUUUCCUUUCCCUUCCUGCCUUGUCCUCCCUUUCUCUCUUUUACCCUGAUUUCCCCAGCUUCCCCAGCUUCUCCACGCUCCUGUCCUACAUGUUGCCUAAUUUCUGCCUCCUCUUCCCCCUCAAGUGUGGGUGUUUCUUAACCUUGUGUCUUUGACCUUCUUCUCAUGUUUUUCUGUACUCUGGCUAUUGUUUUUCAUGUGCUCCCGAGGCUUCAACUCUUACUGUGGAUGGCUGCCAAUCUGCAUUCCCAGCCCUCUCCGUCCUCUGAGUCCUGGUUCUGAGUUCCUGCUGGGAAUCUUGAACUGAAGGUCCAUAGUCUUCUGAAGUUUCCCAUGUCUCAAAGUCAAGUCAUCCCUCCUUUGUCUCUCCUCCACCUUCCUCUCACUUCCCAGUUUUUCUUGCCUGCACCACUGUUCUCUCUCUAUCCAGGCUGCCUAUCACCGUCUGCUUCUCCUUCUUCCUGACUCUCUGCUUCAAAUCCGCCACCAGCUCCUUACAUUCUGCCUUUAUAAUAGCUUUUGAAUACAUCUCCUCCUCUGCGUCACAGCUGCUCCUCCCCUAGCACCGCCAUUCAGAGGCAAUAACUGUUAACAUUUUGAUGCGUAUUUUUCCAGCUUUUUUUCCCUGUCGAUAUAAGUAAAUAAGUAAAUAAAUAAAUAAAUAAAUAUUAUACAUGUACUUUUACAAACUAUUAUCAUAGUGUUCACAUUAUUGUAUAAACUCAUUUUUUUCGCUUAAUAAUGUAUUGUGAAACUCUUUCUAAAUAAUUUCAUAUUCGUCCACAAUAAUUUUCAAAUAUAGUGGCAGUUGAGGACUUGGGGUUUUGUCUUCUGUGUCUCAAACAGAGUCCUCAUGGCCUUUUUCUCCUCUUCAGUUAAUGGUGACCUAAACUCCCAUGGAAGAAAGAGGAAAAGAAAAUUAUGCUUAACGUAUGGCAUAUCCUGUCCCGGUGCACCGAACUUAUUAGGAACUGGGUAUGGCAUGAGGUGGACCCAGACGUCAGACUUAGGAUGAGUGUGUAACAGAUGUGUGUUGAAUAGGGGAAAGGUGACAUAGGAGGUGGGACUCGAAGCAGAGUCUGGUCAGGUUGACAAAAGCCAUCACCUGGCCUGGCCCUGGACAGGUCAGAGGGCCACUCCCCAAAGGGCUUGUGCAACAUCGAUGAAGACACCCCAGCAGACUUGUCUUCUUGCUUUCACAGUGGAGAGGCACUCGGUGAUCAGGGACAAGCAGUCCCAGCCUGGGGUUUUCCUGGGGACUUUGAAUGCUAAAAUGAGACAGUCUGGGUAAACCAGGACAGUUGACCACCCUACUCAGUGAGUCCCACCCGAGGUUCAAAUUCUCCUCGUAAAGGAUGUGGGUUGAUUCCAGAACCUUUGAAACCAUCAUCUCACCUCUACAGGAACCUUGAGUGUGGUGUCUGAGAGGAGAGUUAUAGCUCCCAGCCAGAAUCCUUUUAUAUGUGAGAGAAAUAAAUGUGAAUCAUUUUUAUAUCGCUGUUAUUCUGGAUUCUCUGUCACUAACAGUCAAACCAAAUUCCUACUGAUAAGACUGUAUAAAAGUAAUACUAAUUAAAUUCAUUUACAUAAGCCCACCAAUUUCACUCUUAAUUACUGUGAUGCGCAAUAAUGAAGUACACACCCCAACAUACCAUUGUAAGUUUUAUUUGAUUUCAGCACUAAACUUAGUUUAUAGAUAUGCUUGGCUUCUUUCAACAGUUUGUUGAUUACAUAGUAUAAUCAUCCACUGACAACUUAAAAAACAUGGGAGGAGACAUAUUUCUUCCAGUGUGUGAAUGGAGGCCCAGGGCACCACGCCCCACUGUUGAAUUGGAAUAAAUGGAUCAAUCCUUUUUGAACAGAGUCUGAGAGACAGCAUUAACACACACCUCAUGGCCAAAGUACAUUUUAUUCAGCCUUUGCCGCAUGCAGUUGUUUUUGGGGACAUGGUGUGACCCUUGGCAUAUCUGCAUCUGUGAAAUAAUAAGCCAUUCUUUAAAUCAAGAUUUUGCAGCAUUACGAAUGCUUGGAGAGGGUUUUCAAAAUUAUUAUUCUAGUGCUAGUCUGCUUCCCUUCUUUCUCUUAAAUAAUCUGCAUUAGGCAUUCAAAAGGUCCACUCAUCCCAGGACAUGACUAGAGCUAAUUUGCUGAGAGCCUCUGAGCACCGCCCAGCCCUGCUCAGGACAUCUGCUGGGAACUUAAAUCAUUUUAAGUGGAGGAAUUAGCCUCCUGUUUUCUGCUGGGAAAGAAACGUGACUCUGGGUAUUCCGCACCAGGCUUUUAAUGGUGGAAAUGAACUAUGCUGCAGAUAUACAAAAGAAAAAUAAAUCCAUCUUCUUUUACUAGGAGCUUGACACUUUUAUUUAGAAAAUUUACAUUUCUGAAUGCUUCCUUCGUACAUUACAGAUGCAUUUCAAAUGUGACUCUGUUAGGUUAAUAGUCUACGCCUUAAAAACAGAUCAGGAUGAAAGUGGGAUUUGAGGCCACUUUGAAGGAAGAAAGAAAGAAGAGAGAGGAUUUAGCUAAUGAUAAGAUGAAUCAAAGAGCAUAACAAAUUCUUUUCUUGCAAAAGCAGAGAAAUUCUGAUAAGCCUGAAAGACUCUGAAUAGAGAAACAUGCUCUUGUAAAUUACUUUUGCAUCAGCACUUACCUCCCCAAGACUUUAACAUGGAAAAUCUAAAUGGGAAUUCUAUAUAAUGGACCAUCAUCCACAAUAUAUCAGUUAUGGAUGUACAUACUGUGUGUGUUUUUAAUAUGCUUUUCUAUCUGUGGUUUCAGUGUUGAAUGCUGUUUUCUCCGCACAUAGAACAAACUGAAAGACAGCUUGGAAUUGACUUCUGCACAUUGCCACACCACUACGACAACGGCUCCAAUCUGAGUAAGAUUCAGGAGUGAAAUCGAUGCAAGGAGCUCCAUGGAAGUAGGAUUGAAUGCCUCUGGUCUUUUGGCAAGCUGUUUUCAUCAAGUCAUAGCAAGUAUCACGUCUCAAGCCAUCAUAUGACAAGACAUUCUGUAAGGAGUUUACUCAUUAUUUACUGAGCAUGUCAAAGUGUUGGCUGCCUCCAGGGCUCUCAGGGGAGCACAUAUUUGCCAGAGUAUUUCUGUGAGAAAUACAAGCAAGAGAUAAAUUUGCCACUCAUUUUCAGGACUGCCACUAAGAACACAUAGUCUGUUUGCUCCCUCUCCUGCAGAGGUUUCUGGGUACAGAGAAAAUACCAUUAAGAAAUAGAUGUAACAUCAAGGUAUCCUAGGCUGGGUGACUGCUAUGAACUGUCCCCAUACCCACAGUGUAAAUAUGAUCUCUUUUCUUUUGUGUCUUUCAACUAAUGACUUAAAUUCCAUGUACUGUAUCAACAGGAAAGCUAAUAUCUUCUUCUUGAAUUUUAUGCCCCCUUAGCCUGAAUUAUGAAAAAUCUCUGGAAGUUUUGUAAAGAUUAUCUUUGAUUUUCACUGCCACACAGAGUUGCUGUCAAAAGCUUGUUCUCUGCAGGAUGACCAAUGAUGUUGGUCCAUUUUGCAGUGAUGUCUGGGUGGCCCAGAUCCCUGUACAGGAUGCUCUGGACUUUCCAGGACCAUGAUCCCCUUGCUGUCAAAGCUGGGCCAAGGCUACCCUGCGCUUCGGCUCUCCAGGUUGUAACUCUUUCUGUUUGGUUUAUUUAGUCACCAACUUCCAGAGUGUCAGCUGCCCUAGGAGCAUAGGUCAGGACUGAGUUGAGUAUCUGCCCUUUGCACACAUGAACCCAUAGUCCUCUUUGCCUCUACUAGGAGUCACCCACAGGGCCUCCACUAAACAAGAAGCUCCAGGUUCUGAGGAUGUAACAGUGCCUGAGGCAGACAUAUCGCUGCUUCUUGAGGCAAUCUAGUGAGUAGACAGGAUUACAGAGGAGAGAGGAGAAGAGAAAUGGGUCAGCAUGGAAGGGAUGGGCAAAAGAAGUUGAACCUACAAAUAAAACUGAAGUGAAGUGUAGGAGAAAAUCUAAAAGGUAAGAGGAGAUAGGAAAAAAAUUAAGAGAAUAUGAUCAAUAAAAAGAGAAUAUUUCCCUUUAGAAAGAAGAGAUGGGCAACAUUUGAUAAAUACUGCAGAGGGCUUAAGCUAAGGACAGGUAAACACCUGUUGUAUUUAGCAAUAAGGAGGCCAAACCAUAGUGAGAAUGUUUUCAAGAAGCAGUGGAAGUGGCAGCUACUUGAGGAAUAAGUGGGAGGUGAGGAAGUAGACACAAUAAGUAAUGAUAAUUCUUCAGGUUUUCUGUGGAAGGGAGAACAGAAAUACAAUGACAACGGAAGAGGAUAUAAUGUUAAGAAGAGUUUUUGUUGGUUCUUUAGGAGCGUUGGCAGCAUUUUCAACGCUGUUGGAAGAGACUCAGUCAAAGGACAUUUUCCUGGACUGUUGUCAACUAAUGAUUUUGUCUUCUGCUCCAUCAUAAUACUCCUUUCAUCUAACUCAUCCUUUAAAUAUAAAUGGACUCAGGUAUGCUUCCAGUUUUUGUGGUAUAGUAGGUUAAUGUCACUAUUUUUUGAUGUCUCAAUUAUGAUUUCACAUUUCAUGUGGGUACACACUGGAAUUUUGAAUUAAAGUAGAAAUUUAGAUCUUGUUGUAAUUUAAUAAUGGAGACUUUGGAGAUAUGGUCAUUUCUUUUUUAGAAUGCUAUCUUAAUAUACAAUAUAAGCACAACAAACUGUACGUGCAUAAAGUGUCUAACUUGAUGAAUUUGGCAUAUGUGUACUCUCAUGAAUCCAUCAGCACACCCAAGAUAAGGAACAUUUUCAUCACCCCCAAAAGUUUCCUGUUACCCCCAGUAACCCUCUGCUUUCUCGCCUCUCACCCCUUCCUCACCUUCAGGCAACCACUGAUCUGCUUUAUAGCCCUCUAGAUAGGUUUGUAGUUUCUAGAAUUUUAUAUAAGUGAAUCAUACAAUAUUACUCUUUUUUGUCUGGUUUGUUUCACUCAGCACGAUUAUUUCAAGAUUCAUCCAUGUUGUCACAUGAAUUGAUGGUCCAUUCCUUCUUUUUGUUGCAUAGUAUACCACAGUAAGAAUAUACUACAAUUGUUUAUCCAUUGAUCUAGUGAUGGACAUUUGAAGUGUUUCUGUUUGGGAUAUUACAAAGAAAGCAACUCUGAACAUUGGUCUACAAGUCUUUGGGUGGUUAUAUGAUCACAUCUCUCUACCCAGGAGUCGAAUGGCUAGGUUAUAUGGUUGGGAAGGUGUAUGUUUAACUAUGUAUGAAACUUCUGACUUGUUUUCCAAAGUGUUUUUACCAUUUUACAUUCCUACCAGCAGUGCAUGACAAUUUCAAUUUCUCCACAUUUUUGCCAACACUUUGUAGGUCAGUCUUUUUAAUUUUAGCCAUGCUACUGGGUAGUAGUAAUAUCUCCUUGUGGUUUUAAAUUUUCCUUUCCCUGAUGACUAGUGAGUAUCCUUUCAUGUACCUAAAUGCCAUCUGUAUAUCUUCCUUUUCAAUUGGUCAUUUGUCUUCUUCUUAUCGAAUUAUAAGAAUUUUUUCUAUAUCCAGAUAGAAGUCUUUUACUGGAUAUGUUUUGCACAUAUUUUUCUCCCAGUCCACGGCUCACUUUUCAUUUUCACGACAGUAAAGCAGAGGAAUUUCCACCCUGAAUAUUUUCCCUCCCGGGACUUCCUCUUCUUUGUCUUGAAUCUCGUUGUCAACUUCUUGUCCAGACAUGGCUUGUUGCUGAGCCCCCGGCACACCAGCUCUGCUUCUUAGACGGGACCUUCUUGCUGUCCUUCACAGUGGUCAUUCUUCCGAUUCUAUGUGUUUAGUCCCCUUGGUGCCCUGCAUCCAUCUGUAAGAAGAGAGACCCUGCCUGACUGGGUACUGAGGUAAGUGACACACCCUUGGAGUUUUAGCUCCCAGAAUCACGGACUUCAGUGGAGUAACUGCAUUUGUUAGAACCCUCACACACUCAAACAAAAUGCAGCCAUCUGGGACAAAACCAAAUAUUGACUAGUUAAUGAUGUUAAUGAAGAAUCUCAUCAUUUCUGCUUACUUAUCAAACAGCCACUAAGUGUGAGGGCCUUCUCUAUGAGUCUAAUGGUCAAGAAAGAGGCUCCAUACAGCUGACUACAGAUUUCUGGAAGACUGACCCUGCAUGUUAAUUCCAUGACAUAGACAUGGAAUUGCGUGAGUGUGGUUAUAAAAGACAUAAGUGAUGCUCUAGAUAUGGAAGCCCUACUAUUUCGUUCAGGAGACUUUCCAAGAUGGAUGAGCUAUUUCUCACCAAUCCGGGGCUUUUCGCUCCUCCACUGUGAAUACAUGUGAAUUUCUUUCUAUGACUUAUACACCUUCCAGUGCUCUAUUUCCUUCUGAAUUCACACAAUUAUUAAAGGGAAAUUGUUUGUAAAGGUUAAAGAAUAUCAACCUACUGAUUAUUUUGUGUCAAAUUUUCAGGUGUCCUGAUUAUAGACAUUGAAUCCCCAUUGAUGAGAGUGUAUCUCAGUUCUAGAUUCUUUCGCAGGAGCAGCCAGAGACUGGUUUCGCCUCUCCUUAAGGAAGGAGGUACCACUGUACAAUCUAAGGCAGAGGGAAGAUGUGCUAGUUAUACAGAUCGUCUCCCCGCAUAUUUAUGAGGCAACCUUUUUCUAAAGCCAGCGAAAGUAGGGAUGAAUCACCGUUCUAGAAUUCUGGAUAAUCUCUGCAUAUGGCAAAGAACGACACCAGCUGAAUAAAGCCAAGGGACAUCUGCCUGCCUGGACACCAAAGACAUUAGCAACUGGAUGGAAAGAAAGAAAUCCAAAUGUUCAUUCUCAGAGAAUCAUCGUUUCAUUGACUUGAUCACUGACAGACAUCUUCAGCGUGAUUACAAGAGAAUUUUGAACAUAUCAAAGACUCUCAGGUUACCGCUGAGAUUUUCUUCUAAG